AGUAACACGUGGGCAACCUGCCUGUAAGACUGGGAUAACUUCGGGAAACCGAAGCUAAUACCGGAUAGGAUCUUCUCCUUCAUGGGAGAUGAUUGAAAGAUGGUUUCGGCUAUCACUUACAGAUGGGCCCGCGGUGCAUUAGCUAGUUGGUGAGGUAACGGCUCACCAAGGCAACGAUGCAUAGCCGACCUGAGAGGGUGAUCGGCCACACUGGGACUGAGACACGGCCCAGACUCCUACGGGAGGCAGCAGUAGGGAAUCUUCCGCAAUGGACGAAAGUCUGACGGAGCAACGCCGCGUGAGUGAUGAAGGCUUUCGGGUCGUAAAACUCUGUUGUUAGGGAAGAACAAGUACAAGAGUAACUGCUUGUACCUUGACGGUACCUAACCAGAAAGCCACGGCUAACUACGUGCCAGCAGCCGCGGUAAUACGUAGGUGGCAAGCGUUAUCCGGAAUUAUUGGGCGUAAAGCGCGCGCAGGCGGUUUCUUAAGUCUGAUGUGAAAGCCC
rnacentral:rRNA from 2 species